rfam:Schistosoma haematobium scaffold509_28, whole genome shotgun sequence.
AUCAAGUUGACGAGUCCAAAAUAGGACCAAACUCGCGUCCAGGAU